UGCGGGAUAGUUCAGCCUGGUAGAACAGAGGACUCAUAAUCCUCAUGUCGUCGGUUCAAAUCCGGCUCCCGCUACCA
rnacentral:tRNA from 1 species